CACGUAGGGGGCAAGCGUUGUCCGGAUUUAUUGGGCGUAAAGAGCUCGUAGGCGGUUCGGUAAGUCGGGUGUGAAACCUCCAGGCUCAACCUGGAGACACCACCCGAUACUGCUGUGACUAGAGUCCGGUAGGGGAGCGUGGAAUUCCUGGUGUAGCGGUGAAAUGCGCAGAUAUCAGGAGGAACACCAGCGGCGAAGGCGGCGCUCUGGGCCGGAACUGACGCUGAGGAGCGAAAGCGUGGGGAGCAAACAGG
rnacentral:rRNA from 1 species